GAUGAACGCUGGCGGCGUGCCUAAUACAUGCAAGUCGAGCGAACAGACGAGGAGCUUGCUCCUCUGACGUUAGCGGCGGACGGGUGAGUAACACGUGGAUAACCUACCUAUCAGACUGGGAUACCUUCGGGAAACCGGAGCUACUACCGGAUAAUAUAUUGAACUGCAUGGUUCACUCGUUAAAGACGGUUUUGCUGUCACUUAUAGCUGGCUCCGCGCCGCAUUAGCUAGUUGGUAAGGUAACGGCUUACCAAGGCGACGAUGCGUAGCCGACCUGAGAGGGUGAUCGGACACACUGGAACUGAGACACGGUCCAGACACCUACGGGGGGCAGCAGCAGGGAAUCUUCCGCAAGGGGCGAAAGGCUAACGGAGCAACGCCGCGUGAGUGAUGAAGGUCUUCGGAUCGGAAAACGCUGUUAGUAGGGAAGAACAAAUGUGUAAGUAACUAGGCACGUCUUGACGGUACCGAAACAGAAAGCCACGGCUAACUACGUG
rnacentral:rRNA from 1 species